GCCUGCACGAUGGUUGUUUUACUAAAUCUGCAAUGUUUAACUUUUGAAGCACAUUUAGGGUCCAUUUGGAAUGUAGGGGAGAAAAGAAACGAAAUGAUUAGUGUUUCUCACCAAAGCUCACCACUUUUGGUGAGAAAUGGAAUGGGGCUUUUAUGUGUAUCAUUGCUCUUCAUAACUUCAUUUCUCACAAAACAAACAAGUGAGGGUUUCUUAUCCAUCCAUUCCUCAUCAUUUCUCACCAAAUCUCUCAAGCCAAAUGGGAUUUCUUUUCGCUUGUGUUCCCCUCACCCCCGUCCCGAAGUAUUCAGAAAGUGCAAACUUGGAUUCUUCUGUUGAUAGAUAUCUUUUGUUUUCCCUCCUUGGUGGGUAAAAAUGCAUGGCUAUGGUUGCUUCAUGAAUAAUUUGCUUUGGCACCAGAGGGAACGCUGAUUGUGUAAUACCAUCAUAUUUGCGAAGUGUUGGCCAAUAUGUGGUCAUCCUCCUUAGAGUUGAAAUUCGGGAUUUGAGGUACCACAAGUCAAAUUCUAUAUCAUUUGGUGUUUCUUUUGUCUGUGGCCCUUUCUUGUAAAUAUGUUAUUGCCUAGGCGGAUAAGUACUUAGUUUUUAGCCCCAAGUGACUUGUAGCCAAUGUUCUAAAAGUAGCUAGGCAAGCCAAUUAAUCGGCAACUAGAGAUUAGUCAGUUUUUCUUCUUUUUUUUUUCUUUCUUUCUAAUUUUUUAAAACUAUUCUUCUGAGUAAGUAGGCUUAUCCAAGUUGAACAAUACAUUAAACAACAUCCAUAUAAUUUCACAAGAAACAGAGUCUUGUACACAUAAAUUUACUUUAUUCUGUAUAGUGUAGAUGCAUACAUUAAUAACGAUUUAGGUUUAGAUAUACGUCAUUUAUAUGGUAUUGUAGACGUAUAUAUUAGAUCUAAACUACACUACAACCCCUAUAGUAUAUUACUACAACAUUAACCCCUUUGAUUUGCAAAAUUACAUAUUUAACUCACAAUUAAUCAUGCCUAGCCGCCUAAUUCUCCAAUUAAUCCUGCCUAGCUGCCUAAUUCUCCUUUUAAUCCCACCUAAUCCUGCCCAGCCGUCGCCUAGCGGAUCACCACCUAGC